CAUCUUAUUCACUGAGCCCUGAGGCCCCCCUGUUGUCAGUCCAUGUGAUCUGGACCAUCCUCCAUGCCAAGAUACUCUGAAGAAUCUUCCUGUGAGGUAGGACAUAAACCAGGAGGACAGAUCCUGA